rnacentral:rRNA from 1 species
AACGAACGCUGGCGGCAGGCCUAACACAUGCAAGUCGAGCGGACCUUUCGGGGUCAGCGGCGGACGGGUGAGUAACGCGUGGGAAUAUGCCCUUCUCUACGGAAUAGUUCUGGGAAACUGGGGGUAAUACCGUAUACGCCCUUUGGGGGAAAGAUUUAUCGGGGAAGGAUUAGCCCGCGUUGGAUUAGGUAGUUGGUGGGGUAAUGGCCUACCAAGCCGACGAUCCAUAGCUGGUUUGAGAGGAUGAUCAGCCACACUGGGACUGAGACACGGCCCAGACUCCUACGGGAGGCAGCAGUGGGGAAUCUUAGACAAUGGGGGCAACCCUGAUCUAGCCAUGCCGCGUGAGUGAUGAAGGCCUUAGGGUUGUAAAGCUCUUUCAGCUGGGAAGAUAAUGACGGUACCAGCAGAAGAAGCCCCGGCUAACUCCGUG